UACGUAGGGGGCAAGCGUUGUCCGGAUUUAUUGGGCGUAAAGAGCUCGUAGGCGGUUUGUCGCGUCUGCUGUGAAAACCUAAGGCUCAACCUUGGGCUUGCAGUGGGUACGGGCAGACUAGAGUGCGGUAGGGGUGACUGGAAUUCCUGGUGUAGCGGUGGAAUGCGCAGAUAUCAGGAGGAACACCGAUGGCGAAGGCGGGUCUCUGGGCCGAUACUGACACUGAGGAGCGAAAGCGUGGGGAGCGAACAGG
rnacentral:rRNA from 1 species